GUCGAACGCCCCGCAAGGGGAGUGGCAGACGGGUGAGUAACGCGUGGGAACAUACCCUUUCCUGCGGAAUAGCUCCGGGAAACUGGAAUUAAUACCGCAUACGCCCUACGGGGGAAAGAUUUAUCGGGGAAGGAUUGGCCCGCGUUGGAUUAGCUAGUUGGUGGGGUAAAGGCCUACCAAGGCGACGAUCCAUAGCUGGUCUGAGAGGAUGAUCAGCCACAUUGGGACUGAGACACGGCCCAAACUCCUACGGGAGGCAGCAGUGGGGAAUAUUGGACAAUGGGCGCAAGCCUGAUCCAGCCAUGCCGCGUGAGUGAUGAAGGCCUUAGGGUUGUAAAGCUCUUUCACCGGAGAAGAUAAUGACGGUAUCCGGAGAAGAAGCCCCGGCUAACUUCGUGCCAGCAGCCGCGGUAAUACGAAGGGGGCUAGCGUUGUUCGGAAUUACUGGGCGUAAAGCGCACGUAGGCGGAUAUUUAAGUCAGGGGUGAAAUCCCAGAGCUCAACUCUGGAACUGCCUUUGAUACUGGGUAUCUUGAGUAUGGAAGAGGUAAGUGGAAUUCCCAGUGUAGAGGUGAAAUUC
rnacentral:rRNA from 1 species